UUUCUCAGUGUUUUGCAAGACGUCUUUAUUCAUUUCUUUGGCAGCACGAUACCAAGACAAUAACUAAUAAGUUCUACGGACUCGAGCGUUGGUUUCAUUUCUCAUAAUGAAUUCGGACGAAUUAGGAAGGAAUUAGCCAUUCAUUGCCUUUUCGAAGUAAACUCCCAGUUCUCUGCAGCAGAGACUGAAUACAACCAAGAAACUUAUCAGAAUAGGCGGUAUCGAACGGAGGACCUCCCUUAUACGAAGGUGUGACGGUCACUUGAGAGGCGAUGUGUCUCGUAGCAACAGAGGACGCUAGUCGCAAGGCCAGAGCUCCGUCCGCAUGGACACGAGUGGGCUGGCUCACCUGAGUCCGCUAAUUGCACACUGACAGUUGUGCUCCGGUCGGUGGAAUUGUAAUAGUGCAGUGUGUUCUGUGCACCAGGACGCCGUCAAAUGGAAGUGCCCGAAGCUUCCACCAAUGACAGUACUUUGAUGACAGGGACAGAUAAGCCUUCCAGUGGGAGUGAGUGGAUGCGGCGACAACGGACGAGACCCCCACCGGCACAGCCUGGAGAGAGGUAGGGACGAUGCUUGCGCUUGCGCAGGCCUCCGCCCUCAGUUAGCUUUUUGGUUGUGUCCAGUG